GAGUUUGAUCCUGGCUCAGGACGAACGCUGGCGGCGUGCUUAACACAUGCAAGUCGAGCGAUGAAACUUCCUUCGGGAAGUGGAUUAGCGGCGGACGGGUGAGUAACACGUGGGUAACCUGCCUCAAAGUGGGGGAUAGCCUUCCGAAAGGAAGAUUAAUACCGCAUAAUAUGAGAGAAUCGCAUGAUUUUCUUAUCAAAGAUUUAUCGCUUUGAGAUGGACCCGCGGCGCAUUAGCUAGUUGGUAAGGUAACGGCUUACCAAGGCAACGAUGCGUAGCCGACCUGAGAGGGUGAUCGGCCACAUUGGAACUGAGACACGGUCCAGACUCCUACGGGAGGCAGCAGUGGGGAAUAUUGCGCAAUGGGGGAAACCCUGACGCAGCAACGCCGCGUGGGUGAUGAAGGUCUUCGGAUUGUAAAGCCCUGUUUUCUAGGACGAUAAUGACGGUACUAGAGGAGGAAGCCACGGCUAACUACGUGCCAGCAGCCGCGGUAAUACGUAGGUGGCGAGCGUUGUCCGGAUUUACUGGGCGUAAAGGGUGCGUAGGCGGAUGUUUAAGUGGGAUGUGAAAUCCCCGGGCUUAACCUGGGGGCUGCAUUCCAAACUGGAUAUCUAGAGUGCAGGAGAGGAAAGCGGAAUUCCUAGUGUAGCGGUGAAAUGCGUAGAGAUUAGGAAGAACACCAGUGGCGAAGGCGGCUUUCUGGACUGUAACUGACGCUGAGGCACGAAAGCGUGGGUAGCAAACAGGAUUAGAUACCCUGGUAGUCCACGCCGUAAACGAUGGAUACUAGGUGUAGGGGGUAUCAACUCCCCCUGUGCCGCAGUUAACACAAUAAGUAUCCCGCCUGGGGAGUACGGUCGCAAGAUUAAAACUCAAAGGAAUUGACGGGGGCCCGCACAAGCAGCGGAGCAUGUGGUUUAAUUCGAAGCAACGCGAAGAACCUUACCUGGACUUGACAUCCCUUGCAUAGCCUAGAGAUAGGUGAAGCCCUUCGGGGCAAGGAGACAGGUGGUGCAUGGUUGUCGUCAGCUCGUGUCGUGAGAUGUUAGGUUAAGUCCUGCAACGAGCGCAACCCUUGUUAUUAGUUGCUACCAUUAAGUUGAGCACUCUAAUGAGACUGCCUGGGUAACCAGGAGGAAGGUGGGGAUGACGUCAAAUCAUCAUGCCCCUUAUGUCCAGGGCUACACACGUGCUACAAUGGUAGGUACAAUAAGACGCAAGACCGUGAGGUGGAGCAAAACUUAUAAAACCUAUCUCAGUUCGGAUUGUAGGCUGCAACUCGCCUACAUGAAGCUGGAGUUGCUAGUAAUCGCGAAUCAGAAUGUCGCGGUGAAUACGUUCCCGGGCCUUGUACACACCGCCCGUCACACCAUGAGAGCUGGUAACACCCGAAGUCCGUGAGGUAACCGUAAGGAGCCAGCGGCCGAAGGUGGGAUUAGUGAUUGGGGUGAAGUCGUAACAAGGUAGCCGUAGGAGAACCUGCGGCUGGAUCACC
rnacentral:rRNA from 1 species